CCUACGGGUGGCAGCAGUAGGGAAUCUUUCACAAUGGGCGAAAGCCUGAUGGAGCAACGCCGCGUGCAGGAUGAAGGCCUUCGGGUUGUAAACUUCUUUUCUCAGGGACGAAGAAAGUGACGGUACCUGAGGAAUAAGCCACGGCUAACUACGUGCCAGCAGCCGCGGUAAUACGUAGGUGGCAAGCGUUAUCCGGAUUUAUUGGGUGUAAAGGGCGUGUAGGCGGGAGCGCAAGUCAGAUGUGAAAACUCAGGGCUCAACCCUGAGCCUGCAUUUGAAACUGUGUUUCUUGAGUGCUGGAGAGGCAAUCGGAAUUCCGUGUGUAGCGGUGAAAUGCGUAGAUAUACGGAGGAACACCAGUGGCGAAGGCGGAUUGCUGGACAGUAACUGACGCUGAGGCGCGAAAGCGUGGGGAGCAAACAGGAUUAGAUACCCCUGUAGUC
rnacentral:rRNA from 1 species